rnacentral:rRNA from 1 species
UACAGAGGGUGCGAGCGUUGUCCGGAAUCACUGGGCGUAAAGGGCGCGUAGGUGGCCCGACAAGUCCGUGGUGAAAGCUCGACGCUCAACGUCGAGUCGGCCAUGGAUACUGUGAGGCUGGAGCACUGUAGAGGCUCAUGGAAUUCCGGGUGUAGCGGUGGAAUGCGUAGAGAUCCGGAAGAACACCGGUGGCGAAGGCGGUGAGCUGGGCAGUAGCUGACACUGAGGCGCGACAGCGUGGGGAGCAAACAGG